rnacentral:rRNA from 1 species
GACGAACGCUGGCGGCGUGCUUAACACAUGCAAGUCGAACGAUGAUGCCAGCUUGCUGGUGGAUUAGUGGCGAACGGUUGAGUAACACGUGAGCAACCUGCCCCUGACUUCGGGAUAACCGCGGGAAACCGUGGCUAAUACCGGAUAUGACGCGCUAUCGCAUGGGGGUGUGUGGAAAGAUUUAUCGGUUGGGGGUGGGCUCGCGGCCUAUCAGCUUGUUGGUGGGGUGAUGGCCUACCAAGGCGACGACGGGUAGCCGGCCUGAGGGGGUGACCGGCCACACUGGGACUGAGACACGGCCCAGACUCCUGCGGGAGGCAGCAGUGGGGAAUAUUGCUCAAUGGGCGCAAGCCUGAUGCAGCGACGCCGCGUGAGGGAUGACGGCCUUCGGGUUGUAAACCUCUUUCAGUAGGGAAGAAGGCCUUCGGGUUGACGGUACCUGCAGAAGAAGCGCCGGCUAACUACGUG